rnacentral:rRNA from 1 species
GGGGAAUAUUGGACAAUGGACCAAAAGUCUGAUCCAGCAAUUCUGUGUGCACGAUGACGUUUUUCGGAAUGUAAAGUGCUUUCAGUUGGGAAGAAAAAAAUGACGGUACCAACAGAAGAAGUGACGGCUAAAUACGUGCCAGCAGCCGCGGUAAUACGUAUGUCACAAGCGUUAUCCGGAUUUAUUGGGCGUAAAGCGCGUCUAGGUGGUUAUGUAAGUCUGAUGUGAAAAUGCAGGGCUCAACUCUGUAUUGCGUUGGAAACUGCAUGACUAGAGUACUGGAGAGGUAAGCGGAACUACAAGUGUAGAGGUGAAAUUCGUAGAUAUUUGUAGGAAUGCCGAUGGGGAAGCCAGCUUACUGGACAGAUACUGACGCUAAAGCGCGAAAGCGUGGGUAGCAAACAGGAUUAGAUACCCUGGUAGUCCACGCCGUAAACGAUGAUUACUAGGUGUUGGGGGUCGAACCUCAGCGCCCAAGCUAACGCGAUAAGUAAUCCGCCUGGGGAGUACGUACGCAAGUAUG